GGAGAGUUUUUCUUUUGCAGGUUUUCUGGCUUCUGGUGUGUGCGAUGGUGAAUGACGAAGAUGAAGGUGCAAUGGUUGCAGAGCCAAAGAAUGAUGGAGCAGGAAGAUGAUGAAUGAAAUUUUCUGCAGAACUCAAAGAUUUUGAUGUUGAACUGGGAUUGUGCAGAAGAAAAGGAAAAAAUGCAGAGUGAAGAAAAAAUAUGGUGAGUAUUUAUAGAAUUUUUUCCAUCUCAAUUCUGUUAGAAAUGUAAGUUAAAUUCACAUUGAAACUCAACCUAAAUUCACUUGAUAGUUAGAAAUGCCUUUUUUGGUUAGCAAGCUGUUAGAAAUUCAUUAGGUUGUUAAAAAUGAAAUGGAAUUCCAAAUGAACGUUAAUUAGGAACUUAAAUUAUAAAGAAUAUUCA
rnacentral:lncRNA from 1 species